GCGCCGGUGUGUAAAGCGUAACAUUGCUGCCCGGAAAGCAGAAGGUGCGGGUUCGAAUCCCGCCUGCGCA
rnacentral:tRNA from 1 species